GCGGAUGUGGCGGAAUUGGAAUACGCGUAGCGUUCAGAACGCUAUGCCGCAAGGCUUGUGGGUUCGAGUCCCACCAUCCGCACCA
rnacentral:tRNA from 1 species